rnacentral:tRNA from 1 species
GGCGGAGUAGCUCAGCUGGUUAGAGCAUACGGCUCAUAUCCGUAGGGUCACUGGUUCGAUCCCGGUCUCCGCUA